rnacentral:lncRNA from 10 species
UCUGGUCACCUGGCGGCCUCUUCAGCUCAGCCCUCCACAAAGUGUGAGCCUGAAGGACCACCCUGAAUUGCCCUUGUAGGACCCAGAACAGCUACCAGCAGAAUCAGGCACUCACAGCUCCGCAUGCCUGGACACAACCUGACUACACCAAGCAGCCCUCAGACUCUUUCCGUGGCCCCUGCCCCAUCGCCUGCAGAUGCAGGUAAAACAGAUGCGUGAGUUCAAAGCACAUGACUCCCCGAGGAGCCAGAGAUGCCAGCUUCCACUUUGAUGUUUAGAACCUUCCUUCCUGGAGUCUUCUGCCCCCUAGUGCAAUCUGGACCAGUUUUCCCUAGGCCUGGGACACAGCUGUCUUUCCGGACUACUCUCCAAUAUUGUCCUGUGCCAAGACUUACUCCUGGGUUGGGAGCAGCCUCCUCUAGCUUACACAAGCAUCAUCAGAGUUCAGAAAUCAGCUUCACAAAACUGGAGAGUGGUGGGUCAGACUGAAAGACCUUCUACUGCCCAAGCCUUACCUGGAGUUUUGCUACUUCCUUCCUGAUCAGGAAGCUGACUUGGUCCCGGUCAUUCCUGGAGUAAUAGAGACGGCACCAGGAAGGCUUCCCAUCCCUGCCAGCCCGGCCAGACUCCUGGUAGUACCCAGCCAUAGACUUGGCAAUAUUCCAAUGGGCGACAAACCUGUAGGAUCCAAAGGGACAAGCAGCAUGAGAUGGUGGAGAAGCUGAGUGUCCUUUGGAGGAGUAAUCAUGACUAGGAGAGCAGGGAGGCCAGCAGAUAGGGAGGGAGAGGGAUAGUCCCAGAGUUAGAAUAGUUAAGACACCUGUAGCCCAUCAGCACGUCUCCCUUCUAGAAGCAGCCCAGCUUAGAGGCCACAGCAGGAGUUAAGGGGGGGCAAAUCCAGCACAUAUGAGGGGCCAAAAAACUCAGCCAGGGCCCAGUGGAAAAAAUACUGGACCUAAAGAAACAAAAUGAGGCUCUGCCACUUAUGAGCUAUGCAAAUUUGAAUAAGUUAUUUAUAACUUCUUUGGAGAGGGAAAGGAAUAAUAUUUAUUAAAUACCUCCUAUGUGCCAGUUU